rnacentral:rRNA from 1 species
AUUGAACGCUGGCGGCAUGCCUUACACAUGCAAGUCGAACGGCAGCACGGGAGCAAUCCUGGUGGCGAGUGGCGAACGGGUGAGUAAAGUAUCGGAACGUGUCCAAUCGUGGGGGAUAACGCAGCGAAAGCUGCGCUAAUACCGCAUAAGAUCUACGGAUGAAAGCGGGGGAUCGCAAGACCUCGCGCGAGUGGAGCGGCCGAUAUCAGAUUAGGUAGUUGGUGUGGUAAAAGCUCACCAAGCCUACGAUCUGUAACUGGUCUGAGAGGACGACCAGUCACACUGGGACUGAGACACGGCCCAGACUCCUACGGGAGGCAGCAGUGGGGAAUUUUGGACAAUGGGCGCAAGCCUGAUCCAGCAAUGCCGCGUGCAGGAUGAAGGCCUUCGGGUUGUAAACUGCUUUUGUACGGAACGAAAAGAGACUGUCUAAUACAUGGUCUACAUGACGGUACCGUAAGAAUAAGCACCGGCUAACUACGUGCCAGCCGCCGCAGUAA